UGGCGCUCAGGACAACUKAUCUCAUGCGGUAAAGCGAAUGAUURRRGCCUCGGGGCCGAAACGACCUCAACCUAUUCUCAAACUUUAAAUGUGUGAGAUCUCCGGCCUGCUCGUAAGAUGAGCCGGAGCCUUUCAAAUGNAUCGGAGUGCCAAGUGGGCCAAUUUUGGUAAGCAGNACUGGCGCUGUGGGAUGAACCAAACGCCCGGUUAANGCCCCCGWAUCGACKCUCAUUGCU
rnacentral:rRNA from 1 species